AACGAACGCUGGCGGCAUGCCUUACACAUGCAAGUCGAACGGCAGCACGGGAGCAAUCCUGGUGGCGAGUGGCGAACGGGUGAGUAAUAUAUCGGAACGUACCCUAGAGUGGGGGAUAACGCAGCGAAAGUUGCGCUAAUACCGCAUACGUCCUACGGGAGAAAGCAGGGGACCUUCGGGCCUUGCGCUAUCAGAUGAGCCUAGGUCGGAUUAGCUAGUUGGUGAGGUAAUGGCUCACCAAGGCGACGGAUCCGUAACUGGUCUGAGAGGAUGAUCAGCCACACUGGGACUGAGACACGGCCCAGACUCCUACGGGAGGCAGCAGUGGGGAAUUUUGGACAAUGGGCGCAAGCCUGAUCCAGCAAUGCCGCGUGCAGGAUGAAGGCCUUCGGUU
rnacentral:rRNA from 1 species